UUUUUUUUUACUGGAUGGCAGUCCUAAAAGUAUAUAUCUUUAAAAUAUGAAUAAAUACGUACAAUUCCAUAGUUAUUUGAUCCAGCGGUUAUAGAAGUUUGGUAAUAAUGCAAUUCUGGCAUUGUGCUUUCUUAAUGUAAGUAUUUCUGCUACUGGACAAGAAAUAGUGUUAAAAGAGGAUUUAGAAAGAAAAUAGUUGAUAUUUGUAUUUACUGAGAGCAAGGCUGUGACUAGUUAUCAGGACAGAAUGAGAACUGAAAAACUGUUGGGUCCGCAUGACCAAGGAGGGAACCGGUCAUCUGCUCCAACAAUUUAUUAGUCUUUAGGAAAUAUUUUUGGACACAAGGAGCAGGAACAUAACAACAUCAGAUGUAUUUUUCAUCCUUAUAUCAGUGAUUUAAAACUAUAUUUAAUUUUGCAUCAUCUUAUUUUUCACCCAUAGAAAAGUCUAAUGUGUUUAUUAUGAGUAGGAUUAACCAAGCUGAAGAAGAGAAAAGAGAAAUAAAUAUUCAUUGGUACAGAAUCGAAUCAGCAGAUAUAAACUUAUGAAACUAUUGAAACUUAAGAAUUUUAUGUUGUGUAAGGUAUUUAAGAAAAUAAUACUGAAUCUGUGCUCACAAAUUUCUUUAUCUGGUUGUUAUCUCUAAACUACGUUUACUUUUUAUGUUGAACACCAGACCUCUUGCCUCUUUUUCACAGUUUUUUCACUUAGUUCCACGACUGCAGUGGAUUUUAUAGUCAAUGUUAAAAUCCAACACAGAGUCUGAAGCGAUGGAGGAAAUUUAUGUCAAUAUGGAACCUGUUGGACAAACUGCAUCUAAUCACACAGGUUGGAGCAGCUCCAAAGAGAGGCUCGGCCUCGGUGUGGUCGUAUGCUUGGGAAUCCUGAAUGUUUUAAUUCUGGCUGAACUCAUAGGCCUCAGUGUACAAACUCAUAACAUGACAGCAGAUUUUUCUGACAUCGGCAACAUGCUGACCGAACAGAACAGCAAGU